GGUGUUGCGCCGGGAUUGAACGGAUAACUCUGAUGACGUUAAUUACGAGGAAAAUACCUCCUUCACCU
rnacentral:tRNA from 1 species